rnacentral:pre_miRNA from 1 species
UCUUAUGAAUGAGCAAAGAAAGUGGUUUCUUGAGGUGCAAAACUACUUCUGCUGAAGAUGCUGUGAA